AUGGCUGAUAACCUUGCCAAGCGUGGCUGGCCACAUAACCCAAUAUGUUUGCUAUGCCAACAAACUCCAAAGCCAGAGACGGCGAUGCACAUAUUGGCGAGCUGCCCAUUUACGCAAGGGUUGUGGCUUCGAGUGCUUGACUUGUUGAUGAUGCCGAGCGACAUGGCGCCACUGCCCACAGAUGAUACCCUCCUGGGCUGGAUGACACGCACUUCGGGUAGGCUCAGGAAGGACGCCAAAAAAACUUGGAGAUCGAUCAGUGCGCUCAUUUGGUGGUCACUAUGGAAGGAACGAAAUGCCCGUGUCUUCAGCCAACAAGCCUCUACGAUUGAUCAGGUUCUUUCCAACAUAUAG
rnacentral:rRNA from 1 species